rnacentral:lncRNA from 1 species
CCUAGGCUGAAAUAACCAGCACUACUUGCCAAACACUUUAGAAAGAUUAUGUUUCUUCUCCAUUACAGAAGUGGAACAUAUGGUUCAGAUUCUCCUCAUUAAACUACCUGCCCUCUGUAAUGUAGCUCUUCUGUGCUGCAGAAAUUGAUACUACACAAGAAAAGAAAUGAUGGGAGAAUAGUGAAGAAGAGAAGAACUGGCCAGGUUUCUUUCAUGUCAGAUGGAUUGGAAUGGGACAAGGCACUUUUCAGAUUCAGCUAUGGGGGAAACAAAAGACAGAAGACAAAAGUUCUCACUUCUCAAAGAGCUAAGUUUCUUUAUAAUCUCUUUAUGCUCCAAGAUGUGUGUGUGUUGUGGGGUGGGAGGGGCGGUAUUGUCUCUUUAAUUAAAUACUUUACCAGGUACUUUUUUCCAAGUACUCACAGUUCUAUCUUAAUCAAGUAUCCAAAUCUCUUCUGAAAACUUCAA